rnacentral:rRNA from 1 species
GGCCCAGACUCCUACGGGAGGCAGCAGUAGGGAAUCUUCGGCAAUGGACGGAAGUCUGACCGAGCAACGCCGCGUGAGUGAAGAAGGUUUUCGGAUCGUAAAGCUCUGUUGUAAGAGAAGAACGAGUGUGAGAGUGGAAAGUUCACACUGUGACGGUAUCUUACCAGAAAGGGACGGCUAACUACGUGUCCGCAGCCGCGGCCGUACGUUGGUUGCGAGCGUUGUCCGGAUUUAUUGGGCGUAAAGCGAGCGCUUGCGGGACUACAAUGUCGAAGCACACUACCUUGCCUAAUUUAUCACUAACCUUCCCUUU